UUUUUUGUUUUUUUUUUUUUGGUAGAGACGGGGUUUCACCAUGCUAGCCAGGCUGGUCUCAAACUCCUGACUUCAGGUGAUCUGCCCACCUUGGCCUCCCAAAGUAUUGGGAUUACAGGCAUGAGUCACUGUGCCCAGCCCAAAUUUCCUUUUUAAUUCUAAAAUCUGUUAUUCACAAUAAAGACCUAACAUGAAUAUGCAUGGUACCAAAUAACACUGCAAACAUCGUUAUGAAGCAAAAGCUGCAGGGGAUGCAGGAAGACAAAGAUAGAAAUGCAUCAAUAAUGGGAGAUAAUAACAAGCCACUCUCACUGUAAGACAAAAUAAGUGGACCUUUUAUUACCAAUACAUUCUCAUUACUCGUUAAUGGUCUGAUCAAAUUUUUCAUUUCUUUAGUCAUAUGGAAGAAAGAGCAAAACUGAAGGAGAUACAAUUGUUAGGCUGUUAUAGUGAUCCAGAAGAGAGAUAAGGAGGCAGUCUGAAGAGAGGGCAUACCAAAGAGGAUAGGGAAGAUGGCAGAGAUGUUAAGAAAGUAUGUGGCUCAUAUAGAUUCUAUGGUUUUAGGAAUUCAUCCAUUUCUUCUAGGUUAUCCAGUUUGUUAGCAUAUAAUUGUUCAUGGCAAUCUCUUAUGAUCCUUGGUAUAUCUGUAGUAUCAUUUGUAACAUCUCUACUUUAUUUUCUAAUUUUAUUUUAGCUUUUCCUCAUUUCUUAGUCUAGAUCAAGGUCUGUUAAUUUUAUCUUAAAAACCGUUAGUUUUGUUGUUCUUUUCUGUUGUUUUUCGUUUGUGUUUCAUUUAUUUCUGCUCUGAUCUAUAUUGUUUCCUUCCUCCUACUAACUUUGGCCUUAAUUUAUUCUUCUUUUUCUAGUUCCCUAAGAUGUAAAGUUAGAUUGUUCACAUUCUUUCUUUUUCAAUAUAGGUGUUUAUUGCUAUUAAUUUCCUCUUGGGACUGCUUUGGUUGCUACCCAUAAGUUUUGGCAUGUGGUGUUUCCAUUUUCAUUUGUCUCAAGACAAUUUUUAAUUUCCCUUUUACUUUCUUCUUGACUCACUGGUUGUAAGGAGCAUUUGGUUUAAUUCUACAUAUUGUGAAUUUUCUGACAUUUAUCCUAUUAUUAACUCCUAAUUUCAUACCACUGUGGUUGAAAAAGAUACUGGAUAUGACUUUAAUCUGCUUACAUUUGUUAAGUUUUGUUUUGUGGCUUAAUGUAUGAUCUAUUCUGGAGAAAGUUCUGUGUGUGCUUGAAAAGAAUGUGUAUUCUGUUGUUGUUGGAUGAAAUGUUCUGAAUAUAUAUCUAUUAGAUCCAUUUGUCUAAAGUGUGGCUAAAUUCCAACAUUUCCAUAUUGAUUUUCUGUCUGCAUGAUCAUGUACAUUGUUGAAAGUGGGUAUUGAAGUCCCCUACCGUUAUUGUAUUGCAGUUUAUGUCUUCAGAUCUUUAUAUCUUUGCUUUAUAUAUUUAGGUGCUCUGAUGUUGAGUGUAUAUAUAACUGCUAUAUCCUCUUGAAUUGAUCCCUUUAUCAUUAUACAAUGACCUUUGUUUCCUUGUAUACUUUACUUAAAAUCUGUUUUACCUAAGUAUAGCUAUCCCAGUUCUUUUGGUUUCCAUUUGCAUGGAAUACAUUUUCCAUUCCUUUACCUUCGAACUGUGUCUUUUUUUUUGUUUGAGAUGGAGUCUCAUUCUGUCACCAGGCUGGAGUGUACUGGUGCAAUCUCGCCUGGGAGAUAGCGAGACUUCGUCUCCAAAAAAAAAAAAAAAAAAAA
rnacentral:lncRNA from 1 species